UACGGAGGGGGCUAGCGUUGUUCGGAAUUACUGGGCGUAAAGCGCGCGUAGGCGGACCUGCAAGUCGGGGGUGAAAGCCCGAGGCUCAACCUCGGAACUGCCUUCGAUACUGCGGGUCUCGAGUCCGGGAGAGGUGAGUGGAAUUCCUAGUGUAGAGGUGAAAUUCGUAGAUAUUAGGAAGAACACCAGUGGCGAAGGCGGCUCACUGGACCGUUGUUGACGCUGAGGUGCGAAAGCGUGGGGAGCAAACAGG
rnacentral:rRNA from 1 species